rnacentral:rRNA from 1 species
UGCCAGCCGCCGCGGUAAUACAGAGAGUGCGAACGUUGUUCGGAAUUACUGGGCUUAAAGAGUACGUAGGCGGCAUGAUAAGUGAUAGGUGAAAUCCCACGGCUUACCCGUGGAACUGCCUAGCAAACUGUCAAGCUAGAGUGUGGUAGGGGAGAACAGAACUCAUGGUGGAGCGGUGAAAUGCGUAGAUAUCAUGAGGAAUACCGGUGGCGAAGGCGGUUCUCUGGUCCACAACUGACGCUGAGGUACGAAAGCUAGGGUAGCGAACGGGAUUAGAUA